CGGAAUUCUCGUUAAAGGGCGUAGGUAUAGAUAGGGUAGUUAAGUACGCCUUGUUUGCUGAAACCUGAUAGUACCUGGCGGCUUCGGCCAACGGGAUAGUGUACCUAAUCAGACUGUCAAGAAAACCUGCUAAGCGUUUACUGAAAGAUAGCCCGUACCGCAAACCGACACAGGUAGUCAAGGAGAGUAUCCUGAGGCGCUCGAGUGAAUCACGGCCAAGGAACUCGGCAAAAUGGUCCUGUAACUUCGGGAGAAGGGACGCUUCCUCCAGUGAUGGAGAAGCCGCAGUGAAAAGGCCCAGGCGACUGUUUAACAAAAACACAUGGCUUUGCGAACUCGUAAGAGGAAGUAUAAGGCCUGACACCUGCCCGGUGCCGGAAGGUUAAGAGGG
rnacentral:rRNA from 11 species